rnacentral:rRNA from 1 species
GUGGGGAAUAUUGGACAAUGGGGGGAACCCUGAUCCAGCCAUGCCACGUGUGUGAAGAAGGCCUUUUGGUUGUAAAGCACUUUAAGCGAGGAGGAGGCUACCGAGAUUAAUACUCUUGGAUAGUGGACGUUACUCGCAGAAUAAGCACCGGCUAACUCUGUGCCAGCAGCCGCGGUAAUACAGAGGGUGCGAGCGUUAAUCGGAUUUACUGGGCGUAAAGCGUGCGUAGGCGGCUUUUUAAGUCGGAUGUGAAAUCCCCGAGCUUAACUUGGGAAUUGCAGUCGAUACUGGGAAGCUAGAGUAUGGGAGAGGAUGGUAGAAUUCCAGGUGUAGCGGUGAAAUGCGUAGAGAUCUGGAGGAAUACCGAUGGCGAAGGCAGCCAUCUGGCCUAAUACUGACGCUGAGGUACGAAAGCAUGGGGAGCAAACAGGAUUAGAAACCCUUGUAGUCC